AUUGAACGCUGGCGGCAGGCCUAACACAUGCAAGUCGAGCGAGCGGCGGACGGGUGAGUAAUGCCUGGGAAUUGCCCAGUCGAGGGGGAUAACAGUUGAAAAUGACUGCUAAUACCGCAUACGACUGGCUUGCCCAGGUGGGAUUAGCCAGUGGGUGGGGUAAUGGCUCACCAAGGCGACGAUCCCUAGCUGGUCUGAGAGGGUGAUCAGCAACACUGGAACUGAGACACGGUCCAGACUCCUACGGGAGGCAGCAGUGGGGAAUAUUGGGCAAUGGGGGAAAGCCUGAUGCAGCCAGGCCGCGUGUGUGAAGAAGGCCUUCGGGUUGUAAAGCACUUUCGGCGGGGAGGCGUUACUCGCAGAGAAAGCACCGGCUAACUCCGUGCCAGCAGCCGCGGUAAUAC
rnacentral:rRNA from 1 species